rnacentral:rRNA from 1 species
UAUGCCUAGCCGUAAACUUAGAUGGCAUCUUACUUACACCAUCCGCCCGGGAACUACGAGCAUUAGCUUGAAACCCAAAGGACUUGGCGGUGCUUAAUAACCCCCUAGAGGAGCCUGUUCUAGAACCGAUACCCCUCGUUAAACCUCACCCUUUCUAGCUUAUUCAGCCUGUAUACCGCCGUCGCCAGCUUACCCUGUGAAGGUUUAAUAGUAAGCAUAAUUAGUAAAACCCAAAACGUCAGGUCAAGGUGCAGCACACGAAAGGGAAAGAAAUGGGCUACAUUACCUGCUCACAGGUCAUUACGAAAAGUGUACUGAAAAAUGCACUAGAAGGAGGAUUUAGUAGUAAGGGAGGAGCAGAGUGCCCCCCUGAAAUCGGCCCUUAAGCGCGCA